AUACUCACCUGGUAAAGAACUCUCAUGAUCAUGAAGGUGAUUUUCCCUGGGCAAGGUUUAUCUACUAUGCUCUAGAUGUGUGGAUAUUGGGAUUGCCCUAAAUGUGAAAAAUUCAACUGUAUUGUAUUGUGUAUUGUGUAUUGGGGGGCUAUGUUUGCAAACUCCUCUG
rnacentral:snRNA from 1 species